rnacentral:ncRNA from 1 species
AAAGACUUAGUCCUAACCUUACCGUUAAUUCGUGCCAAGCAUAUACAUGCAAGUAUCUGCGAUCCAGUGUAAAUGCCCUCAAUUUCUUGCUAGGAUGACAGGAGCAGGCAUCAGGCACACCCACCCAGCCGUAGCCCAAGACGCCUUGCCCAGCCACACCCCCACGGGUACUCAGCAGUAAUUAACAUUAGGCAAUAAGCGUAAGCUUGACCUAGCUAUGGCACCACCCAGGGUUGGUAAAUCUUGUGCCAGCCACCGCGGUCAUACAAGAAACCCAAAUUAACCGUACACGGCGUAAAGAGUGGUAUCAUGCUAUCACAGUAACUAGGAUUAAAACGCAACUGAGUUGUCAUAUACCCAUGCUGCGCUUAAGCCCGCCCUAAAAAUGAUCCUAGCGCCUACGAUCGAUUGCACUCCCACGAAAGCUAAGACCCAAACUGGGAUUAGAUACCCCACUAUGCUUAGCCCUAAAUCUCGGUGCUCACUUUACCAAGGCACCCGCCUGGGGACUACGAGCGCAAACGCUUAAAACUCUAAGGACUUGGCGGUGCCCCAAACCCACCUAGAGGAGCCUGUUCUAUAAUCGAUAACCCACGAUACACCCGACCGCCCCUCGCCAGAGCAGCCUACAUACCGCCGUCGCCAGCCCACCUCGCCUGAGAGCACAUCAGUGGGCACAACAGCUUAGCCCGCUAGCAAGACAGGUCAAGGUAUAGCCAAUGGGAGCGGAAGAAAUGGGCUACAUUUUCUAAGCUAGAAGACUCCUACGGAAGGGGGUGUGAAACCACACCCAGAAGGCGGAUUUAGCAGUAAAGCGGGACAAUAGAGCCCUCUUUAAGUCGGCUCUGGGGCACGUACAUACCGCCCGUCACCCUCCUCACAAGCUACAAACCAAUAUAAUUAAUACGCCAACUAGCUGAAGAUGAGGUAAGUCGUAACAAGGUAAGUGUACCGGAAGGUGUACUUAGCAUACC